CGUGAGAAGAGACUUUACCGGGUGUUGCGCCCCUUCGUUUUGGUGUGCAGUUUGCUUUUGCUGUGAUUCGAGGUAAAGGCCAGCUGUCCCCCUCCUCUGCUCUCAGCCCGACCUUGGAAGUCGUUAUCUCCUCCUGCUCUGCAGUCGCCCCCACCUCCUUCUCUCUUUGAAUGGGCCACCUGUUUGAAGUGUGUGUGAAGAGAUGGGAGGAAAUGAACUUGCGCAUCUCUCUGGAAGCUUCAAUUCAGCAGUUAAUAUGGAUUUGAAUUCCUGGAAAAUCUACAGGAAAGAAUACUUGACUGACAAACAUUUGAUCCUUUCGUGAUUGUAUGAGCUUGGCAAGACAUUAACUUCUAAGUGCAGGGAAGCAUCACUUAUUAAUCUGCUUCAAGUGAGUCUGUUAAAGAAGAUGUACUUUAGCCAAUACUAUUCUAGUCAUCCAUUGUUGAUGUAAAAACUCCCAAUAAAUUUGUAUGAAUAGUAGAAUGGUACAAAGAAAUAAAGUAAUACCAAUU